rnacentral:rRNA from 1 species
GUGCCAGCAGCCGCGGUAAGACGUAGGGUGCAAGCGUUGUCCGGAUUUACUGGGCGUAAAGAGCGCGUAGGCGGUCUGUUAAGUGUAGAGUCAAAUCUCCGAGCUCAACUCGGAAACUGCUCUGCAUACUGGCAGACUGGAGGAAUGCAGAGGUUUGUGGAAUUCCUGGUGUAACGGUGAAAUGUGUUGAUAUCAGGAGGAACACCCAUGGCGAAGGCAGCAAACUGGGCAUUAUCUGACGCUGAGGCGCGAAAGCGUGGGGAGCAAACAGGAUUAGAUACCCUAGUAGUCC